GGAGGGAGGGAGGAGGAAGAAAAACAGCCAAAGAAAGGGGAGAGGCAGAGGGGGAGUGGAGAUAUCACGUCUAACAAUUAAGACCUGCCUUCAGGCUGCAAAGAAGAAGCUUUGUUGAAAACAUAUAAAUUGCUCAUUGAGCAGUGGCUCUCUGCAGUCCCUCAGAUACUCAGGAAUCCGUCAUAAAGGACGGCAGCCACCGCCCGCAGCGCCUCGCAUGGCGGGGCUGGAAUCUGUUCACGGUAUUCAGGGGAUCCAUCUCCAGCCAAGCCAACCCCCCCCCCCCAGUAAACACAAACCUGGAUCGAACCCCAGCGACUCCAAUGGAGAUCCUUCGCGGCCUCUGUACCUUGCAGGGUCAAAGAUCCAGAGACGUUUUAUCCUAUUUGUCUUUGUGGUGCAAGAGGAGGAGGAGGCUGCGUGCAUUGACCGCCUGUUCUUAUUUACUUGAAUCCAGUGUUUGUGAAGGAGAACAAGUGAAGGGUUUUCUUUAACAAAUGCGACCUGCAUUCUGAAACACACACGUUAUCCCCACAGCAAAGGCCGACUUGUAGCCCGGGAGGAACGUGGAGAUACCGUGGACAGAUGUACGAACAGACAGACAGGAAUUAGUUUAUUGAAAGAUAUUGAGCAAGCAGAGUAAAUAGUUGAACGCAAAGUAGAGGAUUAGUUUGAAAUACAGAAAUACACAGGUGGUUUCUACAAAAUGAAUGACUUGAUGUUUUAUUUCACCUGCUGGUCGUAACGUUGCAUCAGGCAAAAGAGAUCGAGGAUCAAACCGCGGAUCAGAUUGACCCUGGCGUCCUGAUCUGGCUUAAAUUAGGAUAAUCUCCCCUUUAAUUGAGCCAACAUUUUAAGCGAUACCUUGAUUUAUUAACUAAUUCCUGUUUAGCUGUUCAGUUAAACAGCAUUUCAGUGGGUUUUCAGCCUUUCGUGUUCUGGGUGGAGUGAUUGACGACACAUCUGGGCAAACAUCUCCGCUGCCACUCGGUGUGUCGCGGUAUCAUCGUGCACCGACAACAUGACACACGGAAUUACCAGCUUCAAGUCAGCCAAGGCAAUCUGACACAAAUGACUCAUGUUUAGUUAAUUCAAGGACGCAAUAAUUCAAAGGAGCAAUUUAAGGUGAUACGGUUUUACCCAACUGAGGUGGUCUAAAGCAACCAGGUGCCUUUUCUGUUGAAAAUGAAAUUAAUUAAACAAAACAGCUGCUUUUGAUAGAACCCAGAUGUGAGUUUUUGAAAAUAAAUGUGGUUUUUCGCCGUAGAGUCAUCUUUUAAACUUACUCCCUUUUACAGUAAAUGUGCAUAGCAUAGUACUGGUGAGGCGUAAAGCUAAGCGCUAGCGUCAGUCCACUGACAAGCUAACACUCACAAUGCUAACACGUUUGGAACGUUCCCCCUCUUAUUCGAGCGUGCCGACAUUUGCUAAUGAAACACGGACGACAAAACGCAUUCAGUGGUGAAAUCAGGACGAACACCCCUGAAGGCCUCAGGCGAAACGCGGGAAUCUUUCAAGCCUCUACGAUUCAUCCUGUGGGGAACGCGAACGUCUGUCUCAUUAUCUUCUGCCCAUUCUAGACGUUAGAGAUAUUUCAGUGAGCGAAAACUUUGAUCUCAUUGGGGUCGACGCUCUGGAGAGCUGGUGGAACAACAUACGGGUGAGACGACUUUUCCAUCACCUAGAGUGAGAAACCACCUCUCAGCCCGCCUACGGCCUCUCGUAGGGUCUCUCCUGCCAAUGGUGUACUUUCCAUUUGAUUAAAAACCGCCCGCUUUUAUGCGUUCGGUUCAGCUCCCUUUGAUCUAAAGAGCAGCACUAAGUCGCUGGGCUCGUCUGACGAGGUUUCACGCUCUUGUAUUAUAUUAUUAUUAUUUUAAAUUGUAUUUAUGCUUUGGCUUCUCACCACAAACUACCCUCCUUCUCCCCCCGUCACGAGGCCUCCGAGCGCCGACUGCUCCCAAAACAGAAGCAAGUGUUUUCUUUGCGUGUUUUCACCGUCCGUCAUUUUCAUACCGUCUAAAGCAAGCGGCCAAAUCAAUGCCUUCACAGACAAAGGAGCAGGCCGCUUUAGGUUGUUGUUUUUCCCUUUGACAUGUUCAACGCGUGUCCUUUAAGUGGUGUGAAGGAGUAAAACCUUUUGACGCCACAUUCAAGACGCUGCAACGAAAGGAACCAUCCAAGCGCGACGACGGUCAGCGGGCUCGACCCACAGAACCUUCUCAUGUACGUAAAAUUCACCCUUCUGGGUUUUUCGCGUCGCGCUGAAAACACGCAGUAAGAGCCGCUGCGUGGGAUCCAUCAGACCCGACGGGAGGCGACACUCG
ensembl:lncRNA